rnacentral:rRNA from 1 species
UACGAAGGGGGCUAGCGUUGCUCGGAAUCACUGGGCGUAAAGAGUGCGUAGGCGGUGCUCUAAGUCUGGUGUGAAAUCUCCCGGCUCAACUGGGAGGGUGCGCCGGAAACUGGAGUGCUUGAGUGUGGGAGAGGUAAGCGGAAUUCCUGGUGUAGCGGUGAAAUGCGUAGAUAUCAGGAGGAACACCUGUGGUGUAGACAGCUUACUGGACCACGACUGACGCUGAGGCACGAAAGCGUGGGUAGCAAACAGG